rnacentral:rRNA from 1 species
CCUACGGGAGGCAGCAGUGGGGAAUUUUGGACAAUGGGCGAAAGCCUGAUCCAGCCAUGCCGCGUGCAGGAUGAAGGCCUUCGGGUUGUAAACUGCUUUUGUACGGAACGAAACGGUCUCUUCUAAUAAAGGGGGCUAAUGACGGUACCGUAAGAAUAAGCACCGGCUAACUACGUGCCAGCAGCCGCGGUAAUACGUAGGGUGCAAGCGUUAAUCGGAAUUACUGGGCGUAAAGCGUGCGCAGGCGGUUAUAUAAGACAGUUGUGAAAUCCCCGGGCUCAACCUGGGAACUGCAUCUGUGACUGUAUAGCUAGAGUACGGUAGAGGGGGAUGGAAUUCCGCGUGUAGCAGUGAAAUGCGUAGAUAUGCGGAGGAACACCGAUGGCGAAGGCAAUCCCCUGGACCUGUACUGACGCUCAUGCACGAAAGCGUGGGGAGCAAACAGGAUUAGAUACCCUGGUAGUCCACGCCCUAAACGAUGUCAACUGGUUGUUGGGUCUUCACUGACUCAGUAACGAAGCUAACGCGUGAGUUGACCGCCGNGGNGGCGGCGCGAGUAGUUAGANAAUUAGAGUGNGNGNGNGAGNGCGAGGACGACGACGAGGGAGGAGG